GAGUUUGAUCCUGGCUCAGGACGAACGCUGGCGGCGUGCCUAAUACAUGCAAGUAGAACGCUGAAGAGAGGAGCUUGCUCUUCUUGGAUGAGUUGCGAACGGGUGAGUAACGCGUAGGUAACCUGCCUUGUAGCGGGGGAUAACUAUUGGAAACGAUAGCUAAUACCGCAUAACAAUGGAUGACACAUGUCGUUUAUUUGAAAGGGGCAAUUGCUCCACUACAAGAUGGACCUGCGUUGUAUUAGCUAGUAGGUGAGGUAACGGCUCACCUAGGCGACGAUACAUAGCCGACCUGAGAGGGUGAUCGGCCACACUGGGACUGAGACACGGCCCAGACUCCUACGGGAGGCAGCAGUAGGGAAUCUUCGGCAAUGGGGGCAACCCUGACCGAGCAACGCCGCGUGAGUGAAGAAGGUUUUCGGAUCGUAAAGCUCUGUUGUAAGUCAAGAACGAGUGUGAGAGUGGAAAGUUCACACUGUGACGGUAGCUUACCAGAAAGGGACGGCUAACUACGUGCCAGCAGCCGCGGUAAUACGUAGGUCCCGAGCGUUGUCCGGAUUUAUUGGGCGUAAAGCGAGCGCAGGCGGUUUGAUAAGUCUGAAGUUAAAGGCUGUGGCUCAACCAUAGUUCGCUUUGGAAACUGUCAAACUUGAGUGCAGAAGGGGAGAGUGGAAUUCCAUGUGUAGCGGUGAAAUGCGUAGAUAUAUGGAGGAACACCGGUGGCGAAAGCGGCUCUCUGGUCUGUAACUGACGCUGAGGCUCGAAAGCGUGGGGAGCGAACAGGAUUAGAUACCCUGGUAGUCCACGCCGUAAACGAUGAGUGCUAGGUGUUGGAUCCUUUCCGGGAUUCAGUGCCGCAGCUAACGCAUUAAGCACUCCGCCUGGGGAGUACGACCGCAAGGUUGAAACUCAAAGGAAUUGACGGGGGCCCGCACAAGCGGUGGAGCAUGUGGUUUAAUUCGAAGCAACGCGAAGAACCUUACCAGGUCUUGACAUCCCGAUGCUAUUUCUAGAGAUAGAAAGUUACUUCGGUACAUCGGUGACAGGUGGUGCAUGGUUGUCGUCAGCUCGUGUCGUGAGAUGUUGGGUUAAGUCCCGCAACGAGCGCAACCCCUAUUGUUAGUUGCCAUCAUUCAGUUGGGCACUCUAGCGAGACUGCCGGUAAUAAGCCGGAGGAAGGUGGGGAUGACGUCAAAUCAUCAUGCCCCUUAUGACCUGGGCUACACACGUGCUACAAUGGUUGGUACAACGAGUUGCGAGUCGGUGACGGCAAGCUAAUCUCUUAAAGCCAAUCUCAGUUCGGAUUGUAGGCUGCAACUCGCCUACAUGAAGUCGGAAUCGCUAGUAAUCGCGGAUCAGCACGCCGCGGUGAAUACGUUCCCGGGCCUUGUACACACCGCCCGUC
rnacentral:rRNA from 1 species